AUGCUCUGGUUUCUCUUUAGACUGAGUAAAUCUUUCGCCUUUUACUAAAGAUUUCCAUGGGGGAACCUUUGUCAUUAAGGGGUUAAUCAAUUUUUGGUGACUGGUGUUUGCUGAAC